rnacentral:snoRNA from 1 species
AAGACUAUACUUUCAGAGAUCAUUUCUAUAGUCUGUUACUAGAGAAGAUUCUCUGAUCAUGUAGAGCAAGUUCUGAAGGGAGUGCUAUACCCGGAAAACUAAAGUCAGA